UUUCCGUAGGUGAACCUGCGGAAGGAUCAUUAACAAAAAAAUAAAAUCCACCUUAGGAAAAACCCAGAGAAGAAAUUCAAAGGGUUUUUCCUUAAGCAAACAGUGAACUUUGUUAAAGUUUCUAACAAGAUAUACCAAUCUAAAUUUAUUUAGAAAGGUAUUUUCUUUUUAAAAACAAACUUGUUUAAUUUAUUUUGUCUUAUCCUUCUUAAACUAAAUUGGUUUUAGGACCUUUUUGGAAAGAAUAUUUAAAUCAAAAGUAACAACUUUUAACAACGGAUAUCUUGGCUCUU
rnacentral:misc_RNA from 1 species